UACGUAGGGGGCUAGCGUUGUUCGGAAUCACUGGGCGUAAAGGGCGCGUAGGCGGCCGCUCAAGUCGGGGGUGAAAGCCUGUGGCUUAACCACAGAAUUGCCUUCGAUACUGUUUGGCUUGAGACCGGAAGAGGUGAGUGGAACUGCGAGUGUAGAGGUGAAAUUCGUAGAUAUUCGCAAGAACACCAGUGGCGAAGGCGGCUCACUGGUCCGGUUCUGACGCUGAGGCGCGAAAGCGUGGGGAGCAAACAGG
rnacentral:rRNA from 1 species